AUGGAAAUCAUCAGCGGAAGAAAGAACCUCGACACUUCCUGGUCAGAAGAGAGCAUUCAUCUCAUUACCCUAUUGGAGGAAAAGGUGAAGUGUGAUCGGUUGGUAGAUUUGAUUGACAAUAAAAGCACCGACAUGCGAGCACACAAGCAAGAUGUAAUUCAGAUGAUGAUGCUUGCAAUGGGGUGCUUGCAGAUUGAUUGCAAAAAAAGGCCUAAAAUGUCUGAGGUGGUAAAAGUAUUGGAAGGUACCAUGACUGUAGACCUCAACAUAGAACAUAAAUUUGUUGUAACAACUCCAACAAAUUUUGGUAGCACAGGAAAUUUGAGCUCUUCAGCCCCACCUACAACCUCAGAUAUAUCAGGCCCC
rnacentral:rRNA from 1 species